AUUGAACGCUGGCGGCAUGCCUUACACAUGCAAGUCGAACGGCAGCACGGGAGCAAUCCUGGUGGCGAGUGGCGAACGGGUGAGUAAUAUAUCGGAACGUGCCCAGUCGUGGGGGAUAACGCAGCGAAAGCUGUGCUAAUACCGCAUACGAUCUAAGGAUGAAAGCGGGGGAUCGCAGGACCUCGCGCGAUGGGAGCGGCCGAUAUCAGAUUAGCUAGUUGGUGGGGUAAAGGCCCACCAAGGCGACGAUCUGUAGCUGGUCUGAGAGGACGACCAGCCACACUGGAACUGAGACACGGUCCAGACUCCUACGGGAGGCAGCAGUGGGGAAUUUUGGACAAUGGGCGCAAGCCUGAUCCAGCAAUGCCGCGUGCAGGAUGAAGGCCUUCGGGUUGUAAACUGCUUUUGUACGGAACGAAACGGCCCUUUCUAAUACAGGGGGCUAAUGACGGUACCGUAAGAAUAAGCACCGGCUAACUACGUGCCAGCAGCCGCGGUAACAC
rnacentral:rRNA from 1 species